rnacentral:rRNA from 1 species
AGUGAACGCUGGCGGUAGGCCUAACACAUGCAAGUCGAACGGCAGCACAGGAGAGCUUGCUCUCUGGGUGGCGAGUGGCGGACGGGUGAGGAAUACAUCGGAAUCUACUUUUUCGUGGGGGAUAACGUAGGGAAACUUACGCUAAUACCGCAUACGACCUACGGGUGAAAGCAGGGGAUCUUCGGACCUUGCGCGAUUGAAUGAGCCGAUGUCGGAUUAGCUAGUUGGCGGGGUAAAGGCCCACCAAGGCGACGAUCCGUAGCUGGUCUGAGAGGAUGAUCAGCCACACUGGAACUGAGACACGGUCCAGACUCCUACGGGAGGCAGCAGUGGGGAAUAUUGGACAAUGGGCGCAAGCCUGAUCCAGCCAUACCGCGUGGGUGAAGAAGGCCUUCGGGUUGUAAAGCCCUUUUGUUGGGAAAGAAGUCCAGCUGGUUAAUACCCGGUUGGGAUGACGGUACCCAAAGAAUAAGCCCCGGCUAACUUCGUGCCAGCCGCCGCAGUAA